GGGGGGACUGGUUCCAGUGCCCUCGGACCGCGUGCGUCCAGCGGCGGGACGGCCCGGCGUUGCGCCUGGGGUCGGUGGCGAAACGGCCGGCAACCUGUCCGACCCGUCUUGAAACACGGACCAAGGAGUCUAACAUGUGCGCGAGUCGUUGGGCGUUACGAAACCCGAAGGCGCAAUGAAAGUGAAGGCCCGGUCUCCGACCGGCCCAGGUGGGAUCCGGACGGUCGCGGCCGUCCGGCGCACCACCGGCCCGUCUCGUUCGCCGCGUCGAGGAGGCGGAGCAAGAGCGUACACGUUGGGACCCGAAAGAUGGUGAACUAUGCCUGAGUAGGACGAAGCCAGAGGAAACUCUGGUGGAGGUCCGCAGCGAUUCUGACGUGCAAAUCGAUCGUCAAACUUGGGUAUAGGGGCGAAAGACUAAUCGAACCAUCUAGUAGCUGGUUCCUGUCGAAGUUUCCCUCAGGA
rnacentral:rRNA from 1 species